AGCAGCCGCGGUAAUUCCAGCUCCAAUAGCGUAUAUUAAAGUUGUUGCAGUUAAAAAGCUCGUAGUUGAAUUUCGGGAUUGGCGCAUCGGUCGUGCCUCACGGGGUAUGAACUGGUGCAGUCAAUUUCUCACCUUCUGGAGAACCGCGAUGUCCUUAAUUGGGUGCCGCGGGGAACCAGGACCUUUACUUUGAAAAAUUAGAGUGUUUAAAGCAGGCAUUUUUGCUUGAAUACAUUAGCAUGGAAUAAUAAAAUAGGACGGCAUGGUUCUAUUUUGUUGGUUUCUAGGACCACCGUAAUGAUUAAUAGGGAUAGUUGGGGGCAUUAGUAUUCAAUUGUCAGAGGUGAAAUUCUUGGAUUUAUUGAAGACUAACUACUGCGAAAGCAUUUGCCAAGGAUGUUCUCAUUAAUCAAGAACGAAAGUUAGGGGAUCGAAGACGAUCAGAUACCGUCGUAGUCUUAACCAUAAACUAUGCCGACUAGGAUCAGACGAUGUUAAUUUUUAAUGUACUCGUUUGGCA
rnacentral:rRNA from 1 species